UUUUUCCCCAGUUCAAAUCCGGGUGCCGCCU
rnacentral:tRNA from 202 species